rnacentral:lncRNA from 1 species
AUACUGUCAUAUAUUGCUCUCAAGGAUUCCUUGCUCCUGAGGCAGAAAGGUGUAUUGGUUACACUGUGAGCACAGCCAUCCUUGGGAAUGGCAUCUCCUGGUGUGGGUGGAAAAAGUUUACUUCUCAGUCAAAGCACAUGAACCUGCACAGAAAAAAAGAAUUAUUGUUUUCUGUCCUCAUGAAGGGAGUACUAAUUCUUUGCCUCUGCUUCACAGGACUGCUCCCUCAGCGCUGGCAAGGAGAACCAGUCAUCAUUCUCAACCCCACUGAGCAGAAGGUGGAAGCUGGAAAACCACUACAGCUGCAGUGUGCUGCCGUUGGGGUCCCAGCCCCCAGCUACCAGUGGUACCGAAACGGGAACCUGCUGGAACACCAGAAGAAAAAAAAACUCUGGAUCACCCACACUAAAGUCAGUGACUCUGGCACGUAUCUCUGCUGUGCCUCCAACAGCCAUGGAGAGCACUGGACCAACGCAGUGGACAUUCGCAUAGGUGAGCAGAACUAAACCAUGUCUGCUUUGCAGCAAAUCAUCUUUUGGCGUGAAAGAGAAUUAGACAAUUUUAGCGAACUUGCAUGGAGAUACCAAGCUGGUACAUGAAGUGCUGAGAUGUUAUCCUACUCAGUUUGUGCAGGGGAAACUGGGCACAGGAUGAAGUGCUGAGAUGUUAUCCUACGGCUCAGUUUGUGCAGGGGAAACUGGGCACAGGGAUUAGAAGAGCUAGAACACAUAGUCCUCCCCAGCUUGAACAGACUUAGUGACAAGAAAAAAAGAAAACCACUGGUUUUAAAGACCGCUUCUGCAGGGAGCCAAAUGUGAGAGUGGAGUGGGGCUCUCAGAGAUGCAGGAGUGUCCUGGCAGUCCUGCAGCAGCUGUCAUGGGAGCAGCUUUCAGAGCACAAAUUCACACCCUGGAUAUACUGGAUGAUCUCAGCAGAGCUGCACGUGUACCCCUGAGUUGGGGACACAGGCAUCAGUCAGCACCAUGAUAAAUGUGAUUCCUUGAUAACAGAGUUCAGAAAUAGUGAGGGAAGCAGCAUGUACAAAAGAAAAAAAAAAACAGCAGUCUGUCCACCAGACUGCAGUGCAGCUGAGAGGCUGUGCUCUCAGAUGCUCAUUGCAGCUUUUCUUCCCAUGUCAAGUUACUGAUUUAAUAGAUUCCCCAACAAGGUGUAGCAGGGUCCUUCAUUAAGGUGAAUUUACAGCCUCACUGAGUUGAAGUGAUGUGCUCAGUUGCAUCGUGCUGGAGAGGAUGGUGUUUAUUUUGGGAAGGUUCAGGUCCAUUGGGCUGGCAGCCCAGGGCUGAUACUGCGUGUGCUGUGC